rnacentral:lncRNA from 1 species
GCCGUGUUAGGCUUCGCUGGCGUAAAGUCCCCGGGAGCUUUGCCCCUCACGGAGAACGUUAGUUGACCCUGAUGGGGACCCGUAGGGUAAAGGUUUUGUUUUUGUUUUUUUUUACGGAAAAGGUUGUGGUUAGGCCCCUUGGAAAGUUGCGACAAAACUCGAGUUAGACAAGGAAGGUCGGAACUAAGUGGCCACAGCAACAAUGCACCAGCAAGCAGGGAGCGUGAUAGGAAGAGCUAAAGAGGAAUCGGGAAACCCUGGGGGUUAGGGCGUCCGCCCAGAGGGCGACUGCAAUGAAGGAAAUUGUGCCCUGCGACUUCCCGUAACAGAGCUGUGUGUCCACGCUCCCUUUUCCGAGCAGGCGCGGACGCUUGUGCCGGAAGUAAACUUGUUAACGGUUCUUUGCCUUUUGGGGAGGGGAGACAGCCCAGAGAAGGCUUUGGAGACCCUUGAGUCGGCCAGCGAGCAGGGUUUCUUACUUGAGCGCCUCCACAAAUAAACGCUCCUUCGCUCCUCCGUCGCGUGCGUUUCCCUGGGAUAAUAAGUGGGAAAGUGGUGGCUUUUAUUUUUUUGAGACAGGGUCUCACCGCCGUCGCCCAGGCCGGAUGGAGUGCAGUGGCGCGAUCACGGCUCACUGCAGCCUCGACUUCCCAGGCUCAGGGAUGGGUUUCACCAUGUUUCCCAGCCUUGUCUCAAACUCCUGACCUCAAGUGAUCCGCCGUCUUGGGUCUUCGAAAGUGCUGGGACAGCAGGAGUGAGCCACCGCAUCUGGCCCGGAAAGUGUUUUGGAGCGUAGAAAAAUGCAAAUUAUAGGGCUGCCUUCAAGGAUCCCGAAGGACCCACAGAUUUGCCGCAUCAGGCUCCUAUGCACGCCGGUAAUUUGAUGUGUUGAGAUGCACUGCCCAGUGCGUUGUUUUUACUGGAGGAGCUUGUGUGCGGAGCUCCUUGCUAGUGUAUGUGUUGGGAUGGGAGAGAAGUGCGGGAGAACUAUGAGAUAAUGCCCCCUGAUCCUCAGGGUCUUAGGAGGUAUGGUCGGAGAGGCUAAGCUAAAGUAUGAAAGCCGUGUGUAGGCCCUUCUGUGUAGUGCAGAAAAGGUAGAGGUAUGUGAUUUGAAAGAGUAGGGAUGACAUGGAGGAUGCGACUCCUGGUUGGAUCUAUAAACUAAUGUCUUUGGAACGAAAGCACAUGCAACCUUUUGAAAAUGGAUGGGUGAUAAUGAAAGACCAUUCCAGAGAAGAAACACCAUGGUGCAAAGGCUCAAGAGGCAUACUGGAAGUACAAUGAAGAGAGCAAUCUAACUGAAAUGGGAAAAAAAGAAACAAAGAGUAAAAAGUAAGAUUUGAUGAGAAAGAUGGAAUCGAUUUUUAAAUUUUUUUAUCUACACAACAAAAUUUAUUAUCUUAACCAUUUUUGAGUGAAUAAUUCGUUAGUAUUAAGUAUAUUUACCUCGUGCGGCCAGUCUCCAGAAUUCUUUUCAUCUUGCAAAACAAACCCCGAACCCAUUAAACAAUUUCUCAUUCGCCAUUUUCCAGCUAGCCUUGGUAACCUCCAUUCUAGUUCUGUCUCUGUGAAUUUGACUGUGUACCCCGUGUAAGUGGUAUCAUACAGUAUUUGUAUUUUUGUGACUGGCAUAUUUCACAUAGCAUAAUCUCCUUGUGGUUUAUCCAUCUUGUAGCAUGUGUCAGAAUUUCCUUCCCUUUUAAGACUAAAUAAUAUUCCAUUGUGUGUAUAUAAUGCCCAGGAGGAUUGACGAGAUUGAGGUCAAGAUCGUGGCCCAGUGUGUGGCGCUCCAAGCCAGCUCUUCCCCUUUCAAAACCAGAAAAGCCGCAUGUUUAGAUCGCUCUAGGAGAUUCAUCUCCAUUACGAUACAGGAUAUGGGCUGUUUGAAAACUAUUUCAUCAUCUUUAUCAUCAUCAUUCAGUUCAGCCACUUGAGAUUUUCGCCUCUCCAAAAAUGUUGGUGUACAAACUGGUGUGGGGCCCUGGAUUCAACAAGUAAAGAUUAUAAUACAUAAAUGUAAAACAUGAUUAUGACUUUACCCAAAAAUAUCAUCUCUCCUCUAUUUUUACAAGUUGUGCCCCAUUAUUUUAGCUCUGUUACCAUCUUUUGGUGAUACUAUUGCAAAGAAUAAAGAACUUAGAUGCUUAUCAAACUUGGUACAGAAAUUCACAAUUAACAAAUAUAGCAUGUUCCAUUAUAAGGUUUUAGGCAGAAAAUUGCUAAAUCAACAAUAAAGAUCUACCAAAUGUCACAAUAUUUAAUUUGAAAUCUUAAAAUG